AUUGAACGCUGGCGGCAUGCUUUACACAUGCAAGUCGGACGAGUGGCGAACGGGUGAGUAACGCAUCGGAACGUACCGGGUAAAGGGGGAUAACUGUCCGAAAGGACAGCUAAUACCGCAUAUAAUUCGAGCGGCCGAGUUCGGAUUAGCUGGUUGGUGGGGUAAAGGCCCACCAAGGCGACGAUCCGUAGCGGGUCUGAGAGGAUGAUCCGCCACACUGGGACUGAGACACGGUCCAGACUCCUACGGGAGGCAGCAGUGGGGAAUAUUGGACAAUGGGCGCAAGCCUGAUCCAGCCAUGCCGCGUGUAUGAAGAAGGCCUUCGGGUUGUAAAGGACUUUUGUCAGGGAAGCGGUACCUGAAGAAUAAGCACCGGCUAACUACGUGCCAGCCGCCGCGGUAAUAC
rnacentral:rRNA from 1 species